rnacentral:rRNA from 1 species
UACGGGGGGAGCAAGCGUUGUUCGGAUUUACUGGGCGUAAAGGGCGCGUAGGCGGCCCUGCAAGUCAGUUGUGAAAUCUCCGGGCUUAACCCGGAAAGGUCAACUGAUACUGCAGGGCUAGAGUGCAGAAGGGGCAACUGGAAUUCCCGGUGUAGUGGUGGAAUGCGUAGAUAUCGGGAGGAACACCAGUGGCGAAGGCGGUUGCCUGGAGCUUUGCUGACGCUGAGGCGCGAAAGCGUGGGGAGCGAUCCGG